UACAGAGGGUGCGAGCGUUAAUCGGAAUUACUGGGCGUAAAGGGCUCGUAGGUGGCCAACUAAGUCGGACGUGAAAUCCCUCAGCUUAACUGGGGAACUGCGUCCGAUACUGGAUGGCUUGAGUUUGGGAGAGGGAUGCGGAAUUCCAGGUGUAGCGGUGAAAUGCGUAGAUAUCUGGAGGAACACCGGUGGCGAAGGCGGCAUCCUGGACCAACACUGACACUGAGGAGCGAAAGCCAGGGGAGCAAACGGG
rnacentral:rRNA from 1 species